GUUUACCUACGGGGGGCAGCAGUGGGGGAUAUUGCACAAUGGGGGGAACCCUGAUGCAGCGACGCCGCGUGGGUGAAGAAGCGCCUCGGCGCGUAAAGCCCUGUCAGCAGGGAAGAAAAUGACGGUACCUGACUAAGAAGCCCCGGCUAACUACGUGCCAGCAGCCGCGGUAAUACGUAGGGGGCAAGCGUUAUCCGGAUUUACUGGGUGUAAAGGGAGCGUAGACGGCGGCGCAAGUCCGGAGUGAAAGCCCACGGCCCAACCGUGGGACUGCUCUGGAAACUGGGCGG
rnacentral:rRNA from 1 species